UACGUAGGGGGCAAGCGUUGUCCGGAAUCAUUGGGCGUAAAGCGCGUGUAGGCGGUCCGGUAAGUCCGCUGUGGAAGUCGGGGGCUCAACCCUCGGAUGCCGGUGGAUACUGUCGGGCUUGAGUACGGAAGAGGCGAGUGGAAUUCCUGGUGUAGCGGUGAAAUGCGCAGAUAUCAGGAAGAACACCAAUGGCGAAAGCAGCUUUCUGGGACGGUACUGACGCUGAGACGCGAAAGCGUGGGGAGCGAACAGG
rnacentral:rRNA from 1 species